CCUACGGGUGGCAGCAGUGGGGAAUAUUGCACAAUGGGGGCAACCCUGAUGCAGCGACGCCGCGUGAGUGAAGAAGUAUUUCGGUAUGUAAAGCUCUAUCAGCAGGGAAGAAAUAGCGACCUUUGGGUCGCCAGACGGUACCUGACUAAGAAGCCCCGGCUAACUACGUGCCAGCAGCCGCGGUAAGACGUAGGGGGCAAGCGGUAUUCGGAUUUCCUGGGUGUAAAGGGAGCGUCGACGGCAGCACAAGUCUGAAGUGAAAUGCCGGGGCUUAACCCCGGAACUGCUUUUGAAACUGUGCAGCUAGAGGGCAGGAGAGGUAAGUGGAAUUCCUAGUGUAGCGGUGAAAUGCGUAGAUAUUAGGAGGAACACCAGUGGCGAAGGCGGCUUACUGGACUGUAACUGACGUUGAGGCUCGAAAGCGUGGGGAGCAAACAGGAUUAGAUACCCGAGUAGUC
rnacentral:rRNA from 1 species